rnacentral:lncRNA from 1 species
CGACCUGAGAUCGCCACGGUGACUUGCAAGCAACUCACUGCACUUAGGCACUGGACUACCUGAAUUUUUAAUUCAGUGACGGAAGGCUGCUGGGUGUAGUCAAGUACUUGACUUAUCGGUGCGUGUGUCAAGAUGGGAUUGACCACUCCAGUUUAGGAGCUGUGUACAGUCGUGUUUCAAUUUAGCAAAACCUUGGCCAGGAUAGUCCUUGUGAGGAGUCACAGGACUGUUUGAGUUGAGCACGAUUCGGAUGAUCUGAUCAGGGUUGACAGUUUAAUCCUGAGUCGUCCUAAACACAGGGGUCA